GGGCCCAGGCAUUUUGCUGCUUUCUCAGUGCAUUUGCGGGGAGCCGGGACUCAGAUUGGCGCUCCCGUAUAGGGUGUUCAUGUUUCAAGUGGCAGCGGAGCCACAGCGCUGGCCUUGGCUGUAGCCUUUUGCACUAUCUGAGCUGAUUCCACUAAUGUCAGGAGAUGAUUUGGGGGAAGUACUUUUGCUUCUGUUAGCUCCAGUCUCACCCCAAAGAAGGGGUAUGCGGCUAUAGGGUACAGAGGCUGAGCCAAAGAAGGGAAGAGGGAACACCCGGGGGCAGCACUUAAACGAUAUUAAAAACAGAGACAGAGAGAGAGGCAGAAAGAAAAAGAGGGAGGAUCUUCCACCUGUUGGUUCACUCCCCAGAUGGCUGCACGGCCAGGGCUGAGCCACGCUGAAGCCAGGAGCCAGGAACUUCAUCCAGGUCUCCCAUGUGGGGGCAGGGGCCCAAACACUUGAGCCAUCCUUCACUGCUUUUCUCAGGCCAUUAGCAGGGAGCUGGAUUGGAAGUAGAGCAUCUGGGACAUUAAUGGGCACUCAUAUGGGAUGCUGGCAUUGCAGGUGGUGGCUUUACUUGCUAUGCCCCAAUGCCCGCCCCCUGGGAGCAGCAUUUUAAAACAAGUUCACUGUCAUCACCAUCACAACACAAGAGGAGUUUUUGCCUAGAAGGAAGUGGAGACUCACAGAGGGCCACUCCCCCAGGCUCUCCUCUGGCCAGAGCCAGUGCCUGGACCGGAACCCAGGCCUCUGACGUCACAAUGCAGGUGCUGUUCAGUACCUGAUGUUUCCAGGGAGACCUGCAAACAACCAACAGGAUCCUCCGUGGAUGGGCUGGGAGCCAUGUCGGGCCCUUGGCUGACGUCAAGGCAGGUCUGAGCUGAGGUUCCUGCCACCAGCAACCACAAGCACCCCGAGUCCAUGGCGGCCAGUGCGCCAACACAGGUGGGACCCCUGCCUGCGCUCCCAGUCCUGCUUUUCCCUCCACCUCCCCACCUGUGACAUUGACAAUGGCAUAACUUGCUUCAUCCGGUGAGGCAGGACCUCUGCACAAUCCCAUUUAUGAUGGAGGAGACUGAGGCUGUGACCCAUGAGGUUACACUGCUGCACGCAGCGACUGCACUGGGCCUGGGAACAGAUGAGCAGCACAGUGCUGGCUCCCCAGGGAGCGGCCCACUACCCUAUGGGGGGACAUGCAGGUGCACAGACUCUGGCGGCUGGAUGGGAGGUCCCUCGAGGGUCCUCAGGGCUCCAGGAGCAGCAGCUUGGGAUAGGGCACCCAACUCCACUUGGCUCAGGGGAGGGGACUUCCAUAGGGCAGGGCCCAAGGACUUAGGCCAUCUUCUACUGCUUUCCCAGGCCAUAGCAGAGAGCUGGAUUGGAAGUGGAGCACCCGGGACUCGAACCAGUGCCCAUAUGGGAUGCCAAUGCUUCAGACUGGGGCUUUAACCCAGUGCACCAUACCGCUGCCCCUCCAGGGAAGGAGUUUGUGCCUCAAUCCUGAGACAGCCAGGGAGGUGUCUGAACACAGGUGUUGUCCUUUCUUGUCUGGUUUUGAUGUUAAUUAUUCCACAUAGUUCUGACCGCUCCUGGCCAGGCUGAAACCAGAAGCCAGGAACUCCAUCUGGAUCUGCCAUGUGGGUGACAGGGGCCCAAGCACCGGGCCAUCAUCUGCUGCCUUCUCAGAUGCACUAGCAGGAGCUGGGUUGGAAGUGGAGCAGCUGGGACUCGAACUGGUGUCGCAAGCAUCUGCUUCCCCUGCAGUCCCACAAAUGCCUGCGUUGUGUUGUUUUUUUUUUUUUUUUUUUUUUUUUUUUGUGUGUGUGUGUGUGUGUGUGUGUGUUUGACAGAUGCCUUUAAUGGCCACAGCUAACUUUUAUGUCCCUGUUGGUGACAUGAUGAUUUGGGUCACUUCACUAUCCUUGUCAUCAUCUUAGGGGAGCCAAUUACAAGAAGGUAAAGUGCUGACAUCGGUCACUGCCGUCCAUCAUAUUUGUAAGCUCUUGCUGUGUCAGGGCUUCUUCCUGGAACUUGGAACCUGUCAACUCUGCAGUGUCACAUGCACCCAGGAGGCACCGCGGGAGGCCUAGAGCCUUCAAUGAUUUGCUGCGGUGCUCAGCUCGAUGUGGCAGAGCCCUGGUGAGACGGCGGCUGUCUGGUCCCAGGGCACACGGCUGCCACGCCCUGAGUCAUCCAUCCCCUAAGGGUUCUGUUGCACAGAAGGUUUGCACACCCAUGGCCAGCAGCUGAUUCCACCACCAGGCCCUGAACCUUCCAGGGCACUGUGGGUCUCACUCAUCUGUGUCCCGGUGCCCAGGAGCAUAACCAUUGAAUGGGUGCUGGCUGACCCACUGCCACCCCUAGCCUGUCCCUGGUCAGACCCAUCGCUCUCAGGGUGCACUGUGCACUGUGCUUCAUAACUGAUGAGAAGGACACCCGCUGUGUGGUGGCCACCACCUUGGUCAGAUGGGCGAGGCUCUGCCCGGGUGACCAUGGAAGUGGCUUGGCCAACAAAGGGGCCUUUCUUGCUUAUGCCCUGUGUCCACUGUGGGCCAGCGGAGAGGCCCUGCUCCCCAGGGUCACUCAGGGCCCUGGGGAGCAGGGCAGCCACCAUCUCACUUCACACAGAGGGGAAAGUGGGGUGCAGGCAGUGCUGGAUCUGGACGUAGCAGUUAUACUCCUGCCCCACGGUGCCACCCAGCCUGACGGGUGGGGUGUAUCCCGCUGUGUGCUGGAAAGGGGCAGAACUGAAGUAUUUUGCUGACCACCAAGGCAGCCCAGUGUCUCUGUCCCGACCUCCCCUCCCCCCAUUCCGGCCGUGAACAAUGACGGUGAGGAGAGGCAGCUGCUUUCUGCCCACGGUCUCUGUAAUCCCGGCCCUAGAGUGAUCCUAGCGCAUGGAGGCCCAGAGCAGCUGAAAGGCUGGCCCAAGAUCUCAUAGCCCAGGAGUGCGAGGGGUGAAGCCCAGCCUCUCUGGCCUGAAGCUGAUUGGUCCCCUUCUCUCUGAGGCCACCAAAGUUCCCCACCCCCAUCCAGAGGAGGAGAGGCAGACUGUGCUGCAGACCCUGGCUGGGUGCCCAGGGAGAGGUAAGGAGGAGACCUGUGAGCAUGGCCUGGCCGGGUGGGUGCAGAGGAGGAGGAGGAGGAGGAGGAGGAGGAAGAGGAACUGGGGGGGAGAGAGUAGACCUCGCUGGAUGUGGGGGUGGGCUGAGCUCUGGGUCUGGGCGGCGGCCCGGAAGGAACUAAGGUCAGGAAGCCCCGGGGAGCCUGGCUGAACCCCAGCUUCUGACUGCCAGGUGUGGGUGGGCUCGAGUCUGCAUUUCUAGCAACCUCCCAGGUGCUGCCCGGCUGCUGGCUCCAAGGUCACACUUUGAGCAGCCUGAAGGGAGAAGGUGGGGCACAGGCAGACCUGGGCUGGAACCCCGGCCCUCUGCCGCCUAAUAAAUUAUACCCAAGAUCCUUUUCCACAAAAGCCUAGAGCGUUGGCAUCCAAGAUGCAGGCCAGGGAAACCCAUGCCCCUUUUACCCAGUCUGCAGGGCACAGAAGACUACCCCUCCCUCUCCUCUGCAUGGAAACUCUGGGGACAUUGUGGCCAUUUGGGGACUGAAUCAGCAGAUGGAAGAUCUCUCUCUGUCUGUCCUCUUUCUCUCUCUAAUUGACUUUCAAAGAAAUAAGUAAAUAAUUUUUUAAAAAGUUUAUGUUAGUACAAAAUUAAAAUCCAUAGUCUUCAAAGUUUAUGGAUAUGGGGCCAGCAUUGUGGCAUAGCUGGUAAAGACACCACCUGUGAUGCCAGCAUCCGGCACUCCAUGUGGAAGCUGAUUUGAGUCCCAGCUGCUCCACUUCUGAUUCAGCUCUCUGCUAAUGGCCUGGGAAAACAGCAGAAGAUGGCCUGAGUGCUUAGGUCCCUGACACCCAUCUGGGAGACCCAGAUGAAACUCCUGGCUCCUGGCUUCAGAUGGGCCAAGCUCCAGCCCUUACAGCCAUUGGAGAGUGAACCAGCAGAUGGAAGAUAACUCUCUCUCUCUCUCUCUCUCUCUCUGUCUCUCUCUCUUUCAAAUAAAUCUUUUUCAAAAAAGCACAUUAUGAAAAGACUAUGCAUGGACUCUUUUUUUUUGCACCAAUGUGAACUUAUGUUUCAAUUUUAUUUUAGAAGAAAUAUGCCCUAGGCCAUUAACUUUAUUCCUUUCUUCUUUUAUAAGUAGCAAAAGGUUGCAUUUCCUUCUAAGUACUGUUUUUUACUUAAAAAAAGCUUAAAAUUUUUGAUGUGUUUUAUCCUUCAUUUCAAAAUAUCUUUAAAAAGUUACGUGUGAUUUUUUUCUUUAACCCACUGGUUAUUUGGAUGUGAGUUAUUUUGUUUCCAAAUACUUAUUCAUUUAUUCAUUUGUUUAAUGAUGUUGUGGCUAUAGUUCAUACACUGUUGAUUUUUAAUCCCCUAAAUAUCUUAAAUUUGAGCCCUGCUUUGUGGUUCAAACUGGGGUCUGUCUUGGUGUAUAUGUGCACUAGUAGAGAAUCUGUAUCCAACUGUUGAUGUGUGAAGUAUUCUAUAAAUUAUAUCAGUUAGCUCAAGAUGGUGUGUGCAAGUAUUUCUAUAUUUGUUUCUUUCCUUUAUAAUUUUUUUUUACUUAACAUGUAAUCCUGUGGCACCUCUACAGGCACAGUGCAGUGUUUCAGCAGGUGCACCCCGUGUUACUGAUCAGAUCAGCGUCCUGCUCCCCACCCUUCCUCCACGUGUGGACCCCACCAGUUCUUUUCCUCCGGUCCUUCAUACCUUGUAUUGUGGAGCACAGUCGCCCCACUGUGCUGGGGACACAGAACCCACAGAACCCACUGCUGCACCUGGCUGUGUUUUGUGCCUUUUAAUCCCACCUCUCUCUAUGCCACCCCCUCUCACCCCUCCCAGGCUCUUGCAAUCACUGUGCUAACUUCGGAUGGGCUCUCCUAUAUGAGCGAGGAUGUGUGGAGUUUGUCUUUCUGUGUCUGGCCUAUUUCACUCUAAUGCCCUCCAGUUCUGUGCAUUUUGCUGCAAGCAUCAGGAUCUCAUUCUUCCUAUGGCUGCCAUGCCACCAUGUGUCUUCACUGCAUUUUCUUUGCCCAGCCGUUCAUCUGGGGAGGCCCAAGGAGCCCACGUCUUGGCUGCUUGAGUAGUCAUGGACUUCAUGUUUCUCCUUUUGAUUUUCUUAUUUCUUGCUCCAUGUAUUUUGAAGCUCUGUAAUCGGAUGAUUUGAUGCAUAAAUACAUUAAAAAUGCUAUAUUAAAGGCAAACUGGUCCUUUUGCAAUGUCACGUACUCUUCGACCUGUUGAACAUCAGCACCAUGGGUCUGCUUUGCUGACGACAAUGCAACUGUUCUGGGUUUCCUCUGAUUAAUGUUCCCAUGGUGCACUUCCCCCACUCUUUCAGCUCCUCUGUCUUUUGCAUGUAAAGUGAGUGGGUUUGCUAUAGACAACAUAGUCAUCCCUUUUUUAUCCAAUAUAACAGUAUCUACUUUGUAGUUGGAAGUUUAGCCAAAUUGCAAUUAAUAUAAUCAUAAUAGGGUUAGAUUCAAGUGUAUCAAGUCUAUCUAUUAGGUGGUAUUUAUUUUCUGUUCCAUUUUUCCUGGUAUCUUUUGAACAGGCUGUACAUUUUUAAAGAUUUAUUUAUUUAUUUGAAAGGCAGAGAUUUACACAAAGAGAGAUAGGGAGAGUCUGGGGGAGAGAGAGAGAGAGAGAGAGAGAGAGAGAGAGAGAGAGAGAGAGAGAUCUUCCAUCCAUGGGCUGGGCCAGGCUGAAACCAGGAGCCGGUAACUCCAUCUGGGACUCCCAAAUGGGUGACAGGGGCCCAAGCACUUGGUCCAUCUUCUGCUGCUUUGCCAGGUGCAUUAGCAGGGAGUUGGAGCUCAUAUGGGAUGCAAGUGACACAGGUGGCUUAACCCGCUGUGCCACAAUGCCGGCCCUGUGUGUGUAUUUCUUAUUAUUUGUAUUGUUUUCUUAUUAGUUAUACUUUUUAAAAAAUUUACAUUGUAAAAGCUUCUCUCUUUUUUUAAAGAUUUAUUUAUUUAUUUGAAAAUCAGAGUUACACAGAGAGGAGAGGCAGAGAGAGAAAGAGAAAAGUCUUCCAUCCGAUGGUUCACUCCCCAGUUGGCUGCAAUGGCUGGAGCUGCACCGAUCCCAAGCCAGGAGCCAGGAGCGUCUUCCGGGUCUCCCACAUGGGUGCAGGGGCCCAAGGACUUGGGCCGUCUUCUACUGCUUUCCCAGGCCAUAGCAGAGAGCUGGAUUGGAAGUGGAGCAUCCAGUUCUCGACCAAGUGCCCAUAUGGAAUGCCAGUGCUCCAGGCCAGGGCGUUAACCUGCUACACCACAGCGCUGGUCCCAAAGCUUCUCUUUUUAAAAUGCAAAUUUAACAUGGCAGGUCCUCUUCAAAUAUUAUAUCGCAUCACAUGUAAUAUAAGACCUUUACAGCAGUGUACGCUCAUAUUCCCCAUUCCAUCCUUUGCGCUAAGUUUUAUAAAGAUUUCUUUAUUUACUUAUCUGAAAGGCAGAGAGAGAGAAAUAAGGGGAGAAGGAGUGAGAUCUUCCGUCUGCUUGUGCAGGGUCUUAGUCCACCCGAACAAGGAUGGACUGGGUCCAAAGAAAGGUAGGUGUGCCACUCGCCCGUUCCCCAGCCCCCCGAUCCCGGGGACAGUCAGACGCAUUGGGGAGUCAGGUCAAGUAAGCAAGAACUCCGUUUAUUGCGUGUGUAGCAAAACCUUUUAAAGCACAAAACUGCAGAGUCAUUGGGGCAGGGCAUAAGGACCAACCAAUUACUUAAAAGGUCAUUUUAUGGGGCGAUUUUUUACAGAACCAGCCGCAUGUCUGUACACUCAUCAUCAGUUGUCAUCACCUCCCCUGGUGCUGCGCGGCCAAUCAGCUUCGGUGGUAAACAACUUUGGAUACUGUCCACCUUACUUCCUUUGGGCGCCAUCUUUGAAUUGCCUCGUGUGCCUAAUUUCCCCACACGCUUGGUCACUCUACAAAUGCCUGCAACAGGCAAGGCUUCCUAGGUGGAUUAGCAGGAGGCUGGAUCAGAAGCAGAGCAGCCAGGACUCGCACUGGCGCUCCUUGGAGUGCAGGCGCCCCUAGUGGCGGCUCAGCCCGCUGCACCACAAUGCACACCCUUUUGUGCUGUUGCUUCCAUACCUUUUUUUCUACAUGUUAUAGACCACAUUCUACAUUGCUAUUAUUCUGGCUUUAAAUGAUGAUCCUUGAAACACAUCUUAAAAAUUAGUCAAAUUUCUUUUCAGUGGAUUCACAUAGUCACCAUUUCCCGUGCUGCUACACAGGUGGUAGAUCUGAGUUUUCAUCCAUUGCCGUUUAAGAGCUUUCUUUAACAUUUCUUGUGGUACAGAUCUGAUGGUGAAAGUUGUUCAGCUUUUUGUUUAUCUGAAAAAACAAAGCUUUAACUGUGCCCUUAUUUGCCAUGUUUGAAGGGGAUUCUCCUUGGGGACAGAAUUCUAAAUUGACCCUCUAUCCUUCUCUCCUUUUGGGCUCCAAAUUUGUUUGUUUGCAUCGACUCUGCCCUCAAGCCCUUGAUGAUUCCCUGUGUGAGUUCAGUGUCUUUUCUUGCUCCCCUCCCCGGGGCCCUCCUCUCAGCCACCGCAGAUCUGCAGGGCCUGCUGUCCGGUGUCUGACAGCUGCUUCGUGGGCUUUGUCCAUUUUCCAUCUGUUUGUGGGAUAGUGGUGACACACAUCUAGUACCGGUCACUCCAUCAUGACCAAAGCAAAACUCAGACAGUGGGCUUUUGUGUUGAACACACACGAGUUUGGAUUCUGAUGUCACCGGGGACUAGCUGUGUGACCUUGGCCAUGUUAACUUGGCCGCUCCAAGCCUCUGUUUUCUGAUAUAUAAAAUGAUUUACACCUGCUGCUGCUCAGGGCUAGUCCGGAGAUGAAAUGACAUCAUGUAUAUAAAGUUAACCAUCUGGUGGCUGGCAUGUGGUAAGUGUUCACCAAAUAAAAAGUCGUGCUGUGGAUAAUGUCAUGGUCCCCAGGCUUCUGCAAGAUGCCACAGUAUCUAAGAUCCUAGCGAUGGAGCUUCCCAACCCCCGCCGGCCUUUCCAGUGGCGGACUGUGCUGUGAACUCUGCUAGCAGUCAUGAGAAGUUAAUAAGCAUCCGCUGGCUCCUGCCCGCUGCUUCGAGCACCCUGCUGCUGACCCACUGGACGCCCGGCGCCUUCUCAGGUGGCCCCAAGGGCCUGCCGCUGGUUCCCAAGGUGUUGCCGCAGAGGGGCUCCAGCUGGGAUCUCACUCCACACGCUGCCCCCCGGACUCCGUCCCUUCAUCUUACAGGAAAUCAGAGGCUCUCACGGUAACGUGUCUGGAUUAGAGUUAAUGUGGGAACGGAUUUCUGCAAGGCAGGCCCUGGUGGAUACACUAAUCCCCUCCGCAUGCAGAGCUGUCAGGGCUGCCUUUGAGGAGUGGGGAGGGGAGCAGGGGGAGCGGAAGGGAGAAGGGGGAGGAGCGGCUGGAUUCCAGGUGGGUUUGUUUGCUCUACUCGCUCCAGGUUAUCUUUAAAUGGGAUAAAAAUAUCUCUUAAUCCUCUUUAUCUCAGUUCAGUGCUUCUAGAAAAGAGACACUUGACAUUUAAGGUUGCGGAAAAGGAAAAAAAAGGUGCGAAAGGCUCGUAAUAUUCAGUGGCAGCCGUAAAGAUGGAGACAUUUCGGGGGGCUCAUGUGAGCAGCCUCAGUGUCUUGGAAAAUGAGAGCAGGCGAGGAGGGAGGCGAAACCAGCACCCAGCCCCCGCUGGGAAAGCCCCCACCCCCACCUACACACACUCACACACACACACACACACACACACAUACCGUGUCCUCGACGUCAUCUGUGUUCCAGGAUGGAGGAGCAGGCCCUUGUGUCCUCCUCGUGCUCUGAGGCUGCCCCACCCCCCCCAUCUGCUUCUGAGCCUUUUUGCUGUUUCAGCCCUCUACAAGGCUCGACCCUUUGGGGCCCAUCGCCUGCCUGCAAAGCGGAACUGUUCAGGUUGGAGACGUGCGCCUCCCGGCACCACCCGUGGAGUAUUCUGCAUCUUUGCUUUGCCAUCGCUAGUGAGAAAUGCAAACGGUGUGUUCAGAGUGAGCGGUGCAUGGUGAGGCCAGCCUGGAGCUGAGCAAGCUGCUUUUGAUCCACCUCUAACCAACCACUAGGCAGGUGCCCAUGACCUCGUGCCCAUGAGGACAGGGUCUCACGGCUCUGGGAUCUUGGGGAUGGGUCUUUGGCCCUGAUCCCAGGAGAGGUUGAAAUUCUCAGUAUCUCGAAAUGCUCCAGCUCAAGGUAAGAGGCAACCCAUGGCCGUGACACCCACAUUUGAGGACCGGGAACAGACAUCUCCGGGCAGUUGGAAAACAGCACCGCUGGUCUCAGAAACACAGCGUCACUCAUUUAGGGUGUGCUGUGCUUUUUCUUAGUGGAACUUCCUGGAAGUGGAUCCAUCCAAAAGCCUUGGGUGCAUACUGCCCUGACUGUCUGGGUUCCAAUCUUGGCUCCACCGUCUGCUCACUACGUGACCGCAGGCAAACGAGUUCACUUCUCUGGGCCUUUGCGACCUCGUACGUAAGGAGGAGGAAUGAUAACACCGCCUCCCAGGUUAGUGCAGGGAAAGCAUUGAGCUUCCUGCAUGAGCAGCUACGAUUAUCAGUCUUCACCGUCGCUAUUGUCAUUGUACUUGGAGCGUUUUCCAGGAACGUCGUGCCAAUUGUGUGCCCACAAACAGGUUAUGAGGGCUCCUCCCAGCUGCUUCAGAAAUAGCAUCAGGGACCCAGGAGAGCUGGAUUUUGCCUCGAUUCUGCGCGUGACGCAGCGGACAGUGUCGUAGGGCUCUUUCCCCCCUCACUCUGUGUCUCUGUUUUCUCAUCUGUGGAAGGGGCCCACGUGCUGUGCGACUCCUGGCGCUGCUUCCAGGCCAAUGUACGUGCGAACGGAAGCAGCCAGAAGACACCGCGCUCCUUUCAAUUGAACAAACCCCUCCCUAGCCAUCCUGUGGGUUCGUCGAGAUCUUUCAGUGCUGGGAUGAGUGUGUGUCCCCCAAAGUUCCUGUGUGGAAGCUCCAUCCUUCAUGCCAUUGGGGAGGGGGCAGGCG